rnacentral:rRNA from 1 species
GACGAACGCUGGCGGCGUGCUUAACACAUGCAAGUCGAACGGAAAGGCCCUGUUUUUGUGGCGUGCUCGAGUGGCGAACGGGUGAGUAUCACGUGAGUAACCUGCCCUUGACUUUGGGGUAACUUCAGGAAACUGGAGCUAUUACCGGACAUGAGCUCCUGCUGCAUGGUGGUGGUUGGAAAGUGUCGGCGGUUCGGGAUGGACUCGCGGCUUAUCAUCUUGUUGGUGGGGUAGUGGCGUACCAAGGCACUGACGGGUAGCCGGCUUGAGAGGGUGACCGGCCACAUUGGGACUGAGAUACGGCCCAGACUCCUACGGGAGGCAGCAGUGGGGAAUAGUGCACAAUGGGCGGAAGCCUGAUGCAGCAACGCCGCGUGCGGGAUGACGGCCUUCGGGUUGUAAACCGCUUUCGCCUGUGACGAAGCGUGAGUGACGGUAAUGGGUAAAGAAGCACCGGCUAACUACGUG